GGUGACCUUGGUUAUUUGGUCUACUUCUUUCUAGCCUUCUUAUUUUGUUAUCUGUGUUAUAAAUGUUGUUCGGAUGACAUUUGUUGGCACUGGAAAGUUACCCGUGCCUGCACCAGCUCAACAAAGAUGGCAGAUUGGCCACUCCUUGCCUUUCCUAGAAUCAUUAAAUGAGGUGAAAUUUAGUUGAAGCCUUGUAGAUCCACUCCCGCUCCGGUGGACAUGUCUCAGUUAAGAUGAACAUGCAACUUUUUGCUCCAUAUUUAUUUCUACUAAUGUCGAAGGAGUCGGGGUUUUGUUGGGUAUCCUGUUCUUGUUGUCAUUCUCUUGAGUACAUGUCAAAAGACAAGAGCUACAUUCUCUGUGAGCAAGUUUUGGCAUGGCUACAAGUUCUGAAAUAUGUACUUUGACGCACUGUACUCUUAGUAUUUUUAGCAUCACUACACUUGCUGUGAGCCCAAGUUUUUAGAGUUCAAGCUAUCAUCUAGCAGGAA